GGGCUUGUACUGGUUUCGACGGGGGUUUUGAAGUUUGGGAAGCCAUCCGUGGACUCCGGGACCACGAUAAAACCUGGAAACUUAAAAUUAAACGCUAACGAUAACGUAGCACUGGCUGCCUAAGCGCGGCCUGUCGGACUUCCGCUUCCCGCGGCGGAUUCAUCCGGCAUCGACUUUAGCGGGGCACUUUUUCUCCUAAGCUUUGCGGAGCGAAAAGAUUUUAUGAAGCUACUGAAGUCAUAAGCCUGUUGGCCGGCGUAUGACAGAGGGAAUGUCAAAAGACCGACUGUGAUGGGAGAUGCCUGGAUGAAUAGGCUUUCGGACAGGGGUUCGAUUCCCCUCAGGUCCAUCU
rnacentral:tmRNA from 1 species